UCCGGUAACUCAGAAACUUCAGGAGUUUC
rnacentral:piRNA from 1 species